UCAAAAUGUAACCUUGCAAGUUAAGAGUAUCUAAUAAACAAUUAUCAGCAUAACAAAAUCAAACUUUGAAUUCAAACAGUAUGGCAUAAUUGUACUUGCUACAUAAUUAACCAUAACUAUGCCCCCCAAUAAAUCCCAAAGGUCAUCCCUAAUAAUAUAUAUACAAACCCCAAUUAACAAUUCUCUCAUCAAAUAUUUCUACUAGUUUUCAGUUAAUGUUAAUGGCAGCUAACUAUCAAAGGUCUAGCUUGGUGACUAUCUUCAUCAUUCUCAUGGUAUUACCCUUGAUGGUACCACCGGCCAAUGCCGCUCGGUUCGCCCAACAAGGUAUAAUUGAGGUGAGUCUAAAGGAGGAACCAAUGUGUCCUCAAUGCACCUGCUGCUCAGCUCCACCACCAGGCUCUUGUUGCAAGUGUUGCACUAAUUCUGUUCAACCUCUUGAUACUAACAUGCCGUAGGACUACAUCAUGUUUCAUGUGGCUCUCUUAUAGAAAACCAAAAUAAUAAUCAUAUGAAUAAGAAAUUGUUUGUCAAUUA